AGCAUAUCAUUAAGCGGAGGAAAAGAAACUAACAAGGAUUCCCUUAGUAAUGGCGAAUGAACAGGGAAAAGCCCAUGCAUGAAUCCCACAGAGUUAAUCUGUUGGGAGAUGUAGCGUAUGGGUACUCUUAAUGGCUUGCGUCAUUAACUUCAAAUUCACAUGAUUGUGAUUCCCAUUGAGGGUGUAAGGCCCGUAAUGGUUAGUUAACGCUUGUCUUUUGAGUAUUCUUGAGUAGGGUUGUUUGUGAUUGCAGCCCAAAUCAGGUGGUAAACUCCAUCUAAGGCUAAAUAUAUCACUAGUCCGAUAGUAAACAAGUACCGUGAGGGAAAGUUGAAAAGAACUUUGAAGAGAGAGUUCAAUAGUACGUGAAAUUGCUCAGAGGUAAACGAGUGGAGCUGAAAGUGGUAUGACGGUAUAUAUCUGUAUUAUUCUUGGAUGUUUGCCUUAAUCUAAGACCUUUAUGUCUAAUUUAGGUGAUUUUUCUCAAGUGAUAUGGGUUAAAUUUCCUCAUUCCUAAACCACGAACGAUGCAUUAAGGUGUUACUAUUGAAGGUAUGAAAGCGUUUAAUUGCUUUUGACAUUUAAGCGUGUUUAGACCUUCUUUGUGGCUAUUUUGAUGUAUUGGGUUAUGCGAUACAAGCCUUUUUUUGGCACAUAAGUUGUCCUUGUUUUAUUCUAAUGUCGUUGACUCCUUUAGAGAUUACGAUGUUAUAAUGAAACAAUAAGGGUGAUCUCUAUAUAUUGUAUCUAUAUUCUGUGGUUAUUAUAGUAAGUAGUCCACUCGACCCGUCUUGAAACACGGACCAAGGAGUUUAGUUUAUGCGCGAGUCAGUGAGUCUUACGAAACUCAAAGGCGAAGUGAAAGUAAAGAUUCCUUUUUUGGAAUUGAGGUGAGAUCUGUUUGUUUUUAGUCGUUUUUGAUUAUGACAGCAGCGCAUCACCGGCUCGUCCUAUACUUUUUAAGUGGGGCGAAGCAAGAGCGCAUAGACUGAGACCCGAAAGAUGGUGAUCUAUGCUUGUGUAGGCUGAAGCCAGGGGAAACUCUGGUGGAAGGCCGUAGCGAUUCUGACGUGCAAAUCGAUCGUCAAACAUGAGUAUAGGGGCGAAAGACUAAUCGAACCAUCUAGUAGCUGGUUCCGGCUGAAGUUUCCCUCAGGAUAGCUGGCCUUAUAUAACAGUUUUAUCCGGUAAAGCAAAUGAUUAGAGGUACUGGGGAAGUAAUUUCCUCAACCUAUUCUCAAACUUUAAAUGGGUAAGAUGUCUAACUCGCUUAAUUGUAGUUUGACAUUGAAUGUUAGGGCUAAGUGGGCCAUUUUUGGUAAGCAGAACUGGCGCUGUGGGAUGAACCAAACGUGAAGAUAAGGUGCCAAACGUAACGCUUAUCAGACACCACAAAAGGUGUUGGUUGAUCUAGACAGCAGGACGGUGGCCAUGGAAGUUGGAAUCCGCUAAGGAGUGUGUAACAACUCACCUGCCGAAUCAACCAGCCCUGAAAAUGGAUGGCGCUGGAGCGUUAGACCUAUACUUCACUGUAAUGAUAUUUGCCACGGAUGUCAUUACAAGUAAGCCGGUAACAUGGUAUGCAUUGAAGCUGAGGUUGUGAAACCUGGUGGAGCUGCCAUGUGUACAGAUCUUGGUGGUAGUAGCAAUUAUUCAAGUGAGAACCUUGAA
rnacentral:rRNA from 1 species